UAUGAAAGUAGAGAGAUUUGGAGGUGGGUUGGUUUACGGAGGUAGUCUGGAGUGUCCAGUUUGUUGGUUAUCUUCUGCAUUGCACUUACCAAACCAACAGAAGAUAGUUUCCUAUAGAAUAUUGUUUGCUUUUUUGUCUGCUUUAGUUGUCAAGAUAACGGAGUUUAAAGAAGAGAGCUUCCCACUGGAACAGGGGGGUAAAACCGAGCCCACGUGUGCUGUCCGUUCAGAAGCCAGCAGCCCUGCCCUGGUCGCUCAGACUCCAUCCCCUGGAACAGUUUCCACUGAGUGACACCAUAUGGACUGCUGAAAGUCAUCUUCAGUCACAGUUCAGGAUGUCUGAUACUUGGGUCUGCCAGGCUUCGGAUGGUCCAUCUGACAGUCCCAAGGACCUACAUAACUCGAGGGAAAGGAUUCCUGCUGGUCUGUGGAACUUGCAGCAUUCAUUGCUAGCCCCAAAAGCACCCAAGAAUUCAACUUUGAUAAAACAAUUUUAACUUUUGGUUGCAUUUCCCGCCUCCUUUUCCUCCCAGUAGAGCUAAGGUACUCAGCAUAAGGAGAGAGAAUUUUUAAUUAGGACUUUUAAAAAACUUUCUGAAAUGGUUUGCAGUGGUUUUCCUGGAAGGAGGUGUAGACUUCGGAGCGGUGCAGAGGAAGGCUCGCAUGAACACGCUGGUGGCUGAGCCAGCUGUGAGUCACACAGCCGUCCCAAGUGUGCGCUGGGGGAAUUUAUACCAUUCCACACCAUCGCAUACUUGUUACGAGUAAUCUAAGUUAGAGCUGCUUCUCUUGCAUUCAGGUUGCCUCUUUAUUUUUGAAGCCUGUUCUUUAAAGGAAGCAAACUGCUUUGCAUGUGACUGCCCCUUGUUGAUUGCCCUUGGAGAAGUGAGAGUGUGUGUCAGGCUAUGGUUUUGCUGAUGUGCCCAGUAUGGAAAAGCGGCGUGCUCCUCAGGAACGCACGCAGCCCCGCUGAAGGAGUGCUGCCGGCUGGAUUCGCUUGCCAAGGAGGAAAAUGUUGAAAAUUGCCAUGACUUAAGUGGGAGCAGACGGAGACCAAUGCUGAGCACUCCUGAAAGUGCUUUUGUUACAGCGGUGCUUGCUGAUUUUAACGUGUCAGUGUGGUCCUUGAAAAUACCUUUUGCUGGAUUUCUGCAGUCGUUUUUUCCAGUGGGGAGGCAGGAUUUCCUAAAGGAGUGGUCGGCAGUGGGGGGUGGCAGCAGCAACUGCCCCAAGAAACUUCUUCAGCUCUUGCUUAGUGUGCAUAUGUGUGUGUAGGAGCAGAUGUGUCUGCAGGCAAGCCGCAGGACUUAGUGAAUUGGUGACUCUUUAGCAGUUAGGCAACAAAUCAAAGAUACUUAUUUCAGAUUUUGCACUGGCCCUCAAGAUAAGAGAAGCUGGCUGAACCUGUUCCCUGGUAGUUGUAAAGAGUGUCCUCUUUGAAGGGAGCCGGAGGAGAGCUUCUGAAAUAUUCCAGGAAUGGGAGGAUAUCUUGGAAGAGGAUUUCCUCAGCUAGGCUUCAUCCUCCUCUGAGAAGUGUGGUCUGCUUGCUUUCCUCUUCUGCCACUUGCUCGUCCUUGCUGUUUCUGUCCUACGGUAAAGGCUUGUUUGCGCUUCGCAGGGCACUGGAAAAUCAAAGCGUGUUCGCUGGAUGAUACGGGUGUCUUUAUCGAAAAUUAAAACGGUCCUAACUCAUUUUGGCUUACUUCGGAAGUAAAUGAAGUCGGUGAACGCUAUUCAGGCUCUAAGGAAGGGUGUCUAGCUUUAGAUUUGAUGCUAUUUACAUUGAGACUAUCCAAAAUUCCUGCCGUUAAUUCAGAUGGAGCUUUCUCUGUGCGGGGUCACAGGGUUUCCUGGCAGCCCUGAAGAGGGAAGUCACGCUGAAGUGAGUUCGUAUUGAAACCAGGUCGCAACCGCUCCUAUGCGGAAUCGGAGUCCCGUUUCCCUGUGGUUGGCAGCUUUCCCUCCUGCUGAAACCGAGCAGCCGCGCAUUUUUUUUUUUAUAUUUUUUUUCCUGUCAGACUCCUGAGAAUUUCCGAUUUAGUGGACGCCUGCUCCUAAACCCUAAUUAGUCGGGUUUCCUACACUCAGCGACGCG
rnacentral:lncRNA from 1 species